AGUACAUGCCGUAUUAAGGCGAAACCGCGAAUGGCUCAUUAAAUCAGUUAUGGUUCCUUGGAUCGUACCUUACUACUUGGAUAACUGUGGCAAUUCUAGAGCUAAUACAUGCAGCAGAGCUCCGACCUUCGGGGACGAGCGCUUUUAUUAGACCAAAACCAAUCGGGCCUCGUGUCCGUUCUACGUGGUGACUCUGUAUAACUUUGGGCUGAUCGCACGGGCUCGUCCCGGCGACGUAUCUUUCAAGUGUCUGCCUUAUCAACUGUCGAUGGUAGGUUACGCGCCUACCAUGGUCGUAACGGGUAACGGGGAAUCAGGGUUCGAUUCCGGAGAGGGAGCCUGAGAAACGGCUACCACAUCCAAGGAAGGCAGCAGGCGCGCAAAUUACCCACUCCCGGCUCGGGGAGGUAGUGACGAAAAAUAACAAUACGGGACUCUUUUGAGACCCCGUAAUUGGAAUGAGUACACUCUAAAUCCUUUAACGAGGAUCCAUUGGAGGGAAAGUCUGGUGCCAGCCGCCGCGGUAACUCCAGCUCCAAUAGCGUAUAUUAAAGUUGUUGCGGUUAAAAAGCUCGUAGUUGGAUCUCAGUUCCAGACGGGUGGUCCGCCUACCGGUGGUCACUGCCUGUUCUGAGCAUUGCCGCCGAAAUUGUCCGAUGAUCUUUACCGGUUGUCGUUCGGUUUCGGCAAUUUUACUUUGAAAAAAUUAGAGUGCUCAAAGCAUGCGUGACGCAUGAAUAAUGGUGCAUGGAAUAAUGGAAUAGGACCUCGGUUCUAUUUUGUUGGUUUUCGGAACACGAGGUAAUGAUUAAGAGGGACAGACGGGGGCAUUCGUAUUGCGACGCUAGAGGUGAAAUUCUUGGACCGUCGCAAGACGAACUACUGCGAAAGCAUUUGCCAAGAAUGUUUCCAUUAAUCAAGAACGAAAGUUAGAGGUUCGAAGGCGAUCAGAUACCGCCCUAGUUCUAACCAUAAACGAUGCCAGCCAGCGAUCCGGCUGUGUUCCUCAAAUGACACGCCGGGCAGCUUCCGGGAAACCAAAGCUUUUGGGUUCCGGGGGAAGUAUGGUUGCAAAGCUGAAACUUAAAGGAAUUGACGGAAGGGCACUACCAGAAAUGGAGCCUGCGGCUUAAUUUGACUCAACACGGGGAAGCUUACCUGGAUAGGACACAGGAAGGAUUGACGGAUUAAGAGCUCUUUCUUGAUUCUGUGGAAGGUGGUGC
rnacentral:rRNA from 1 species